CCACCUCAGGUUCCUCCCUUUCUUGAAGGGGUAGAGAAUGUCGUGAAAAGACAAGUGCACAGUCUUUCCUCGACCUGAAUCUGCUGCGAUCCCGAAUUGGAAGUAAUGGAAUACGUAGCUGGCGGCAAGAAGGUGAUGGUUCUCUGUAUAUUCGUGUAUAUUUAUCUGUAUUUAGGGUUUUAUUCAUCAGGGUCGUGGGAAGUACAUCUAUGUUUCUUUUCAUCACAUAAAUUAUUAUUGAACUAUCCUACCAGGACCAGGGAUUGAAUCAGGGUCAUUAUAAUAAUGUCUAAUUGGUUACACACAUUGCGCCAAAAGGGCAGGUGAGCAUCCUUCCUCACUGAACUUUAACAAGGCAGGCUGUACAUAAUUUCUCUCUCUCCCUGGUCGCUGGCUUGAUCAUUCACCAUCGUGUGUCAUGUGCAUUCGUGUUAGUGUAGUAUUCAAGUCAGUUUUCGUUGACUUGUGUCCUUCUGCCAUGUAACUUAACCAUGCCACUGCAAGACAACAGCACCACUUUGGCUCUGCCAAAAUGUGGGACUGUGAUGCAAGUCUAGGCCUAAAAACAAAGGGAUUGAAAGUUGAUGACCAGUGGGACAGCCUACAAGAAGUAUCCCCCAACAUUUUAAGGACCUGAGGGAUAGCUGGUCGAAAAGAGGGUGUUCCUUUCUUCACACAGGAAACUUCAUGAUGUGCGAAUCUGUCCUUUCCUCCAAGAGGAGAUUGUCUCUCCCUCAUCAAGGGAACGAGAGUAUUUUCGCUGAAAAUUUCCAUGAACUAUUCAACUCCAGACGAUCACCUCUGCAGCUACACCAAUCAGCGGUUCAACUGAAAGAAUUUGGUUACAUAUUCAUUUGCCCUCUGUUGUACAGGCAGUCCCCGGGUUACGACGGUCUCGGCUUACGACGUUCCAAGGUUACGGCGCUUUUCAAUUAUAUUCAUCAGACAUUAUUUCCAGGGUUACGACGCCUACAACGCUCAUCUGGCAGAUGAAAUAUGACACCAAAAAUGCAAAAUAAUCAAUAUUUGAAGCUUUUUUUUGAUGAACAAUGCCAUAAGAAUGCAGUUUACAUAGUUUUCAAUGCACCCAAAGCAUUAAAGGUAAGGUUUUCUUAGGAUUUUUGACGAUGUUCCGGCUUACGACGUGUCUCAAGAACGGAACCCCCGUCGUAACCCGGGGACAGCCUGUGCUCUGUUUAUUACUGUACAGAAGCAUUUUUUAAAUACAUUGUAAUUUAUUACUCUUGCAAGUCCCUUAACAAGGCCUGGGCUUGCAGCAUAACACCAGCCUAAUGGCAUAGCCAAAAUAAUUCAGAGAAAACCAUGUAAGAAGAGAGCAAGGCAAAUGGCUGAAACAUUACAAAAACUGUUAUACUUAGCAGCUGAGUACAGCAUCUUGUCACAAUAUACUGUAAUGCUCUUUAAUUUUAGAUACCUCCAGAGCAUCCAUUAUGGUGAAUGAAUUAAAAUGAAGUAACUCGAGCUCCAUCAAACUCAAAUUAUCCAUUAUUUUAUGAACCAGUUUAAAAUGACCAGCAAUAUGAACGAAUGAUGAGCUACUGUAGUUUUCAACUUUGAUAAGCAAUAUGAGUGGCUGCAUUUCGAUAUAGUAUUGCAAGAGCAAUAGUGGAGAGUUGUUUUUCAGUGGCAAGCUUUGAUCUUCCAUCUAGCUGGAUGGGUAGGGAUUUUACAUGCUAAUUAUUUUACCCCAAUAUCUAUUAAUUUGCAUGUCAUUUCAACUGCUUGUUUUCCUUCCACCCAACUCUAGUCCUAUGUCAACGCAGUCUAUCUACAUUAACAGUUACUUUGGUCCCUCCCUUAGUUUUUGGUUCUUAAAUGAUAAAAUCAUAAUAAUGUCUUAAUGCAUUAAAAAAAAAUUUCCUUUCUCAUUUGCAGUUAUCCCUUGGCAGAUGAAAUAAAAUCUUCCCCAAUUCUGUCAACAAAGGAGUGGCUAAUUCAACUAUAUUAUUGCACUAUGAAAAUAAGUAUGCUGUCCUUUGUUACUGCAUCUAGGAAUAAAAUUAUUGGAGGCAUAGCCAAAACUUUAGACAAGUGAAAUGCAUUUCACACAGCACAUACCAAAAUAUUGCCGAUAUCCUGGUCCAGUCUUUUAUUUCAUUACUGAGUAUCAACAGUCUUGCUUGAUAAGAGACAUGACCUAGUUUAACUAAUUUUAUCAAAACUGACCAAGGUUUUAAAGAUUAUUAUUAAUAGGGGUUAGUUUUUUCAGACAUCUGAGUCUCAAGUAGACUCUUCUGGGCUGGUUCUCAGUGAUCAAUCCUGAGGAAAAAAAAAAUUAGACUUUAUUUGAGAAACCUGCCUUAUUUAAAAAAUUUAUGAUGUUAUUAAUUGAAAAAUCUUUGCUUUCAGCAAGAAUACUUUUCAUUUUUGAAUUCCGUAUAUAAAUAGAUCUUUGCUGGGUCCAAUUUGGGCACUCAACAAGUAAAUGCUGUACUGUCAUGGGUGUUUGACAUCUGUUACACUU